rnacentral:rRNA from 1 species
CUCAUGGAGAGUUUGAUCCUGGCUCAGGACGAACGCUGGCGGCGUGCCUAACACAUGCAAGUCGUGCGG